rnacentral:rRNA from 1 species
AUUGAACGCUGGCGGAAUGCUUUACACAUGCAAGUCGAGCGGCAGCACGGGGGCAACCCUGGUGGCGAGCGGCGAACGGGUGAGUAACACAUCGGAACAUGCCCAGUCGUGGGGGAUAACACUUCGAAAGAAGUGCUAAUACCGCAUACGUCCUGAGGGAGAAAGCGGGGGAUCGCAAGACCUCGCGCGAUUGGAGUGGCCGAUGUCAGAUUAGCUAGUUGGUGGGGUAAAGGCCUACCAAGGCAACGAUCUGUAGCUGGUCUGAGAGGAUGAUCAGCCACACUGGGACUGAGACACGGCCCAGACUCCUACGGGAGGCAGCAGUGGGGAAUUUUGGACAAUGGGGGCAACCCUGAUCCAGCCAUUCCGCGUGAGUGAAGAAGGCCUUCGGGUUGUAAAGCUCUUUCGGCAGGAACGAAACGGUGAGCUCUAACAUAGCUUGCUAAUGACGGAACCUGAAAAAGAAGCACCGGCUAACUACGUG